rnacentral:rRNA from 1 species
GACAGAGGUGCCGAGCGUUAGGCGGAAUCACUGGGCUUAAAGCGUGUGUAGGCGGGCGGCCAAGUACCUUGUGAAAUCCCACGGCUCAACCGUGGAACUGCUGGGUAUACUGGUCGUCUUGAGCCAAUCAGGGGCGAGCGGAACAGACGGUGGAGCGGUGAAAUGCGUAGAGCCCGAUCGGAACACCGGUGGCGAAGGCGGCCUGCUGGAGCCGGGCCGACGCUGAGGCGCGAGAGCGCGGGGAGCGAACGGG